rnacentral:rRNA from 1 species
AACGAACGCUGGCGGCAGGCCUAACACAUGCAAGUCGAGCGCCCCGCAAGGGGAGCGGCGGACGGGUGAGUAACGCGUGGGAACGUACCCUUUGCUACGGAAUAGCCUCGGGAAACUGGGAGUAAUACCGUAUGUGCCCUUCGGGGGAAAGAUUUAUCGGCAAAGGAUCGGCCCGCGUUGGAUUAGGUAGUUGGUGGGGUAAUGGCCUACCAAGCCGACGAUCCAUAGCUGGUUUGAGAGGAUGAUCAGCCACACUGGGACUGAGACACGGCCCAGACUCCUACGGGAGGCAGCAGUGGGGAAUCUUAGACAAUGGGCGCAAGCCUGAUCUAGCCAUGCCGCGUGAGCGAUGAAGGCCUUAGGGUUGUAAAGCUCUUUCAGUGGGGAAGAUAAUGACUGUACCCACAGAAGAAGCCCGGCCUAACUCCGUG